AGAAGAAAAAACUAAACAAAUAAGAUCAUUUUAUGCAGUGCAGACAUGACAAAGCAUAGAAGAAUAGAAAAGGGAAAGAAAAGUCAGCUGAUGGGGGAGGCAACAAAACAUGACACCUCCUCCACAGACGGAGGUAAAAAAAAAAAAGGCAGGUCAUCCCACGCUGCUGGUUAAUCUUGGAGGAAUGCAAACACGAUGCAAAGAAAUCAACUGAUUCAAAUGCAGAGGUGGUCUGUGUCCAUGCCACAUAAAGAUGAGGAAGAUAAAUAUAGGCCUACCUCAUCUUUAAUUUUUCAUUCAUCUGAAGAAAAAAAAACCCUCAACAACAUGAAGAAAAACAUACACAGAUGUCUCUUCAACAGCUGGGAAAGGCUAUUGGCAUGAGCAAUGAUUCAUAGUACAACUGGCCAUUUCAUUGUGACGUCACAGUCAAGGUUUUAGCCCAAGAGGAUGUGUGGAUGCAUGUGUUUAUGAGAGAGCGAGAGAAGCCUGAAUUAAACAAACAGCCUGUCACAAACACUGUAUAGUGUUUUCACUAAUCGUAAUAACUUACUUUAACUGUCCAAAAAAGUGUUUUAGCUGUGCUCCUGUGAUGUUUAACCACUUUUGACCCUCCAUACUGCUCUGCAAACAUCUCUCCCAAUCAAAACAGACAUGAUGGCACACAAAACAAUCACUGUUUACUCAAAUCCAUAGAAUUAGCCUGCUGUCCAAGUCAUGUUGCCAUGUCAUUAUCCAGCCACACGCUAUUUACCUUCACUUUUUGUGUCACUAAAGAAUGAAGGCUCUCGUCUUUUCUUUUCAUACCUGCAUAAUAAACGUGCAUGGUAAACUCUGUAA